GUGCUCACUUCAGCAGCACAUAUACUGAAAUUGGAAUGAGACAGAGAAGAUUAGCAUGGCCCCUGCACAAGGAUGACAUGCAAAAAUUCCUGAAGCGUUCCAUAUUUUU